GUCCUGUUGAAAGCUUCCUGGGUCAGGUUGGGAUUGGGAUGAGUGUAGGUGCCUGAGGGUGAUUUCUGGGAUCUACUUUUUGCAGAUAAGAGGUUUUAGAGCUGGAAGGGAUUUUAGAGACCUCUUUAAUGAGGAUGUUGAGGACAACAAAGGAAAAAUAAAUUACCUAAAACCACACAGCUAAUGAGACCGGAAGCGGGGACAGGGGUCUUCUGACUCCUAAGAUGGCUGUCCACCAGGCCCCCUUCACGGUGCUGUUCCUUGGCUUUCGUGGGGACAGAAUCGGGUAAAGGGUGGAAAAAGGAGCCAACUUUUCUGGAGACUCAGGACCCAUUUGGCAGAGAAGCACAUAGAAAAGCCAGAGAAUGCAGCCUGGAGAGAUGGAAGAUGCCAGUCAGGUCUCACUAGUGUCUAGGAAUGGAAGGUUUUCUCAGCAUCCAAUACCGACUGGAAGAAGCUCCUGCCAGCCAUGUAAGAAGGACAAUGUCAGGCUCUAAUCAGGGAGAGCCUUGGAGAGCUGAGGAGAUUCCCCAAUUUCUUCCUGCUCAUCAUUUUCAGUCCCUGACGUCCAUUUCCACAGAGGAAUUAGCAGGUGAGAAGCCGAGUCAGUGGGAGGCAGCACUCCGGAACUGAAGGACUCCAUCCUCAAGGGCUGACCAUCCCAUCUUGUGGACCCCUUCAUCUCCAGACGAUGCUGCCCAGGACCUGAGGGUUCUUAGACUGCCCUCUCCUUCUGUGCUUUUUCUCUAGUCGUGCUCCAGGUUAGUGCCACAGUCUGUAAGAAGCAAGUGGAAUCAGAGAAUAUCAGCAGCACAAGGGGCUUCAGAGACUGCCUCAUCCCACUUUCUAAUUUGACAUUUGGAUAAAACGAAGUCCAUGGCAGAGAGAUGACAAGUCUCAGGGCACAUCACUAAUUAGUGACUAGCUUUAGGUCCUGAGCCUAGGCUGGCAAGUUUGGCAUAGUAAUAGAUAAUAGCAAGAGUGUACACACACACACACACACACACACACACACACACACACACACACACACACAAACUCUUGUUUAGUUCACUAUGUGCAUGGUGCUGUUGUAAAAUAUGUAUAGGGUUGUGUGCAUAUUAUCUUUCCCAUUUUAUGCAUAAGGAGUACAAAGCUCAGAGAUGUUAAGUGACCUGCCCAAAGUCACAGCUGGUGACUGGCAGAACCAGAACGUGAACUCAGGCAGUCUGGCUCUGCUCUUGACCCCUGCACAGUCCUGACAUACUAGCGUGCGGUCUUUACUCACUUAUGGUCCAGAGGAAGGAUCUCUAAUAAAUUCCUUGGCCAGAGGAUUCCUGGCUUGAUA
rnacentral:lncRNA from 1 species